ensembl:ncRNA W03G11.19 ncRNA
GGUAGGCGGCGCCGUCCCGUCAGUUUGGGUCACACCAUAUCCAAACUGUGGAGAACAAUGAAAUCGAGGAGAGCGGAUCGGUUGGGAGGAGAAGGCCUCUCUUCUCUUCUAGGCCACCUAAUUCCGAAGGCCGUUUCAGAAAAGGAGGAGGAUUCGUAACAAUUGCCACACGGAUUACUGUACUUACCCUAUUUGCGUUCUGGUAAUUAUACA